rnacentral:lncRNA from 1 species
AUUAGAUGGCCUAUAUAUAGUAAUUACUAGAUGUGUGCAGACCAGUAACAGAUCCUCUAAGUGAUGGAUUCAUUGUACUGGGCAGCACAGAUGCUUUCCAAUUCACUUACUUGUUUAACCAAAAUUUACUGUGCGCCUACGAUAUCCUAACACUGUGUUCAGCAUGAAAGCCUUAAAGGCCAAAAAGCCUGAAGGGGAAGCAAAGAGCCUUAAAAAAUCUACACAACCAACACUAAGAAGCAUGGGCUGUGAGGAAGGAUCCACGGAGGUUGGAUGAGAGCAGAAAGCAGAAGCUCUGCAGGAAGUGAGGAAGACUGCAGAAAAGACUUGAGAUGAAUAGGAAUGUGCUGGAGGGCUGGGGAAGUAUCUUGCAAAGAGACGGGCUAUUACAAAGCCCGCUGUAUUUUUAGUAGAGACGGGGUUUCACCGUGCUGGCCAGGCUGGUCUCGCUCUCUUGACCUCGUGAUCUGCCCGCCUCAGCCUCCCAAAGUGCUAGGAUUACAGGCAUGAGCCACCUCACCCAGCCCAGCUACUCGGGAGGAUGAAGCAGGAGAAUUGCUUGAACUCGGCAGGUGGAGGUUGCAGUGAGCCAAGAUUGUACCACAGCACUCCAGCCUGGGCGACAGAGCGAGACUCUGUCUCAAAAAACAUGCAAACAAACAAGCAAACAAACAAAAAACAAAGCCUGCUGGUUCUCAGGGAACACGGACCACUCAAGGUAUGGGAACAGAGUGGAGUUCAGGCAGAAGCAGGUGCAGUGAGAAGCAGAUGCAAUCGUAAGUGUCAUGCUAGCAUUCAACUGGGCCUGAGAGAUGGAGAGAUUUUUAAGCAGAAGAGAGACCUGGUUAGAUCGGUGUUUUGGAAAGCUCGCCAUGAAAGCUCCAUGCAAGAAGGACCAGAGAGUGGAGGCCGAAGCAGAAGAUGGGAUAAAAAACAACCCCAAAGGGUGUGCAGACUCCAGCUCUCACUGCUCUGGGAGUUUUCAUUGGCACAAGACAGAGAACAGCUGAGCCUGCAGCUUCUAUUGUCACAACUCUUUGACCAGCAGAACCGGAGAAAACUAUACCUGACAGGACUCCUUCCAAAAGAUUCAGCAUCAAUUUCACCCCAGCAUUUUCCCCAGACUACAGAACCAAGUAUUCCUGCUGCAUCUUUACCGUUACACCUAAAGAUACUGUAUGUCUCUGCAAGUCUUCCGGGAAGCCUGGAGCACAGUGAGUUGACUUUUCUCCUAAUCCUGGAGAGAAGAGAAUUUCUGAAUAGAAACCAGUGACCU